rnacentral:tRNA from 1 species
AGCGGCGUACGUCGGCCCCGGCCGCGCCCGCUGGUGUCGGGCUCGGCAUGCCGGCGAUCGGCGUCCCCGCGCCGCUUCC